GACGAACGCUGGCGGCGUGCUUAACACAUGCAAGUCGAACGGAAAGGCCCUGCUUUUGUGGGGUGCUCGAGUGGCGAACGGGUGAGUAACACGUGAGUAACCUGCCCUUGACUUUGGGAUAACUUCAGGAAACUGGGGCUAAUACCGGAUAGGAGCUCCUGCUGCAUGGUGGGGGUUGGAAAGUUUCGGCGGUUGGGGAUGGACUCGCGGCUUAUCAGCUUGUUGGUGGGGUAGUGGCUUACCAAGGCUUUGACGGGUAGCCGGCCUGAGAGGGUGACCGGCCAAAAUGGGAAUGAGAAUAGGGCCAGACUCCUACGGGAGGCAGCAGUGGGGAAUAUUGCACAAUGGGCGGAAGCCUGAUGCAGCAACGCCGCGUGCGGGAUGACGGCCUUCGGGUUGUAAACCGCUUUCGCCUGUGACGAAGCGUGAGUGACGGUAAUGGGUAAAGAAGCACCGGCUAACUACGUG
rnacentral:rRNA from 1 species